rnacentral:rRNA from 1 species
GAUGCUAAUACCGGAUAACAACAGAUGAUGCCUAUCAACUGUUUAAAAGAUGGUUCUGCUAUCACUCUUGGAUGGACCUGCGGUGCAUUAGCUAGUUGGUAGGGUAACGGCCUACCAAGGCGAUGAUGCAUAGCCGAGUUGAGAGACUGAUCGGCCACAUUGGGACUGAGACACGGCCCAAACUCCUACGGGGAGGCAGCAGGC